GGUAAAAUGGCUGAGGAUAAGCAUUGAACUGUAAAUUCAAAGACAGAGAGUAAGAUCUCUUUUUACCA
rnacentral:tRNA from 1 species